UACGUAGGGUGCGAGCGUUGUCCGGAAUUAUUGGGCGUAAAGAGCUCGUAGGCGGUUUGUCGCGUCGACUGUGAAAACCUACAGCUUAACUGUGGGCUUGCAGUCGAUACGGGCAGACUUGAGUUCGGUAGGGGAGACUGGAAUUCCUGGUGUAGCGGUGAAAUGCGCAGAUAUCAGGAGGAACACCGGUGGCGAAGGCGGGUCUCUGGGCCGAUACUGACGCUGAGAUGCGAAAGUGUGGGGAGCAAACGGG
rnacentral:rRNA from 1 species